rnacentral:lncRNA from 1 species
GCCACCACACCCAGCUUCCCCUUUAAAUAUUGAAGCCAUCUCUCAAAAUUAUCUUUGGAGAAAGGCACAAACCCCAGACCAUUUCUUUGAUUCCGUGCUUUUUGCUUCUGGGCAUGUCCUUAACCUUGGCAAAAUAAACUUCUAAAUUGAUUGAGACCUGUCUCAGAUACUUUUUGGUUUACAAUUAUAAUCUAUGGUCCCCUAGAUCAUAAGGGCCCUUCCUAUACCCCAGGAAACUCAGUGUUACUAAUACCUAGAAAUUGCCCCUUUUCUGUCUCAUCAGCCAGCCCGUAGCCCCUGGGUGCCCACGUGGCCUCACCUGGCCCCAGUUCACCACAGCCUCUUUGGAUUCUGUGGUUUAACUCAUCAGAUGUGCCAUAUCUUGCUAAUUACAGGAGCAAGGUAAGGAACUAACCUUUACUAAGGAUGCAUUAUUGGCCAGACACUACUGACUCUUACAGUGGCCACUAAACCCUUCACAAUAAUAUCUACUCUUUAGAUAAAUGUUUUUGCCAUUUUAGAAAUUAUGUUGCGUGAAGUCGCUCGGCCAGUAGCAUUGGAAUUGGAGCCCAGACUCAAAGCUCUUAACUCAAAGCCCCCGCUCUGUUCUCCCGCGCAUGGUUGGACCCCUAGCCCUUGGCCCCCUUCCCUUGCCUUUGACCUGCCCCUCAAAGGACUGAGGAUAAUUUGUAGGAAAUCCUGUUCAAGCAAUCUAUGAUCCAGGUAAUCUGUGGUGAGUGAUGGCCAAAGCUAGAGUUGAAGAAGAACACCAGCAUGACAAAGGCAUGUGAGGAGUGGGGGCGGGGAAGCCAGGGAGGGGGCUGGCUUCUUGGUUCAGCCAAGAAGCAGCAACAACUAAAGAGGGAGACAUAGUAGGAUGAAAUGCUAAUUAGUGGCUUCCGGGAUUUUACAAAUAUCUUUAAAUUUAGUGAGUUUUUCAUAUACUUCACAUGAAAAUCGCCUCCCCACACACAGGUCGCAGAAGUUGGUGGCCAUCUGUGCCAUCUUCCCAGUGAACUUGCAGACAAAACCAACAGCACAAUGCUGAUAUGAAGAACAGAUGAAAUUUACAGAUGUUUGCACUUUUCCAUGUGUUUAUUGGCCCCCAUGGCUCUUUCCUGAGUGGCCUGACCAGCCCUCUCCCCCAGUCUCCUGGGCCCCAUAGUAGAGGGAGCAGAAGAGGGUGGGAAGGAGCCCCAGCUGGGAGGAGACAGGAAGGAAAAACCAGCCUUUGUUUGAACCUGAACCCUCGUCCCAGGCUGGCUACCAGUCCUCCUGUUCCAGCCUUCCUUUUCCAGUAUGAAUAAUCCCAGUUUCUUUCAUCUGAACUCCUGAACCUCCUUCAGCUCUUCCAGUCCACCAGCACCCUCGUGAUUCUGGGCUUAACACAGUUUCCAGAUGCAGGGGCGGCUUGGCUGGACUGUUCUGGUUUGGGGUCUCAGAGGAGGUUGCUUUUCAGAUGGGUAACUUUGAAGAUUUCCUCACAUAUCUGGUACAGGACUUACACCUCUGGUGCACAGGCCAAAACUCUCAGUGAUGGAAUCACUGGGACCACUCAGGUAUCUCUUUCUAUUUCUAUUUCUUUGUGGUCUCUCCACAUGGUUUCUUCAACUUGGUGACGUCAGGGUAGCCAAACAUCUUACAUGGGAGCCCAGGGCUCCAGAGAGUACCUGGAAGACAGAAAGAGUGCCAGGUGGAAGCUAGAUCCUUUUUAUGGUCUAGACUUUAGAAGCAUGUCCAGGGCUAGGGGAAGGCAAGAAAGAUGCCUGGGGCAAGUGAUCGAAGGAGGCAUCCUUAUAAAAAGACGUGUUUGGAUGUCACAUAGUAUCCCUUCCACGAUCCAUCCAGUGGGGAGAGUUAACAAGCCCACCCAGGUGUAAGGAGAGGGGACACAAAGGGAGGGAACUCCAUCUUGGUGGGAAUAGUGUCAGUCACAUUGUUAUAAAGAGCAAACUGGAUAUAUGCUCAAGGUCUUUUCGCCUUUCCAAUCUGAUGAGUUAAACAUGGCAUUUUGUUUGUUUUUGAAAACAAACUUCUUUUUGAAAUGUAAUUGAAUUGUACUUUCAAAUCAUAUUACACAUAUGAAAAUCUAUGAACGAGGUGAACAUCUUUUCAGUGUUUGCUUCCUCUUUAGCAAAUUGUCUCCAUAGCCUCUGCCCAUUUUUCUAUUGGUUUUUAGAUCUUUCUCUGUAAGAAAAGUGUGUAGGUGGUUGUGUGUAUGUGUGUGCAGAGACAGAGGAAGAGAGAAAGGAAAUUAGUCUUUUGUUUGUGAUGUGAGCUAUAAACAUUUUUUCCCAUUUAUUAUCUACCUUUCGACUUUGCUUAUGAUGGUUUUUCCAUGCAAAAAAGUUAUUUUUGUGUAGUUAAAUUUCUCUUUUCUUUUAGUCUUCUGGAUUUUUGUCAUACUUGAAAAGGCCUCUCUCACUCUGAAAUUAUAAAAUUUUCCCCAUGUUUUCUUCCACUCUGUGUGUGCAUGUGUGCACGCAUGAACACAUGCACGUAUAUAUAUGUGUUCGUUUUUUUACAUCUUUACCUUUGCUGUAUUCAGUAUUAAUUUUACUCUAAGAUAUGAGGUAGGGGUGCAAAUAUCCUUUUUCUUGAUGGCUAUCUAGUUGAUUUGAAAUGUUGCCUUUAUUAUAUAAAUUACUGAAGUCAACGUUUGUAAUUCCAUUUCAUUCAUGUAUGUGGGUCUUUAUGUGAUAGUGCUACAAUAUUGUAAGAAUUGUAGCUGUGAGAUGUAUUGUCCGGUAGGGCGACUUCCCUUUAUUCAUUUUUAUAAUUUUGUUAACUAUUCUUUCUACUUUUUAAAUGAAAACCAUUUAUUAAGUUAAUUGCAUGGUGGUAUUACUGGUCAUGAAAUGUGAUUAGGAUGAGCGAGCUCACUGGGUGUUUCAGAUUUUUCUGAACAUAAAAAAAGGGAAAUGAAACAGCCAGGCAUGAGCGUCUGUAAUCCCAGCACU